rnacentral:piRNA from 1 species
UAAAAGCAAAUGGGCCCAGGAUAACUGGA